AGAGAUUCGGUCGUGGGGUUUCGGAGGUGCCCACUAACCCCGUCACCUCACCUUUUUUUCUCCAUCGUCCCAUACGGCGGCGAGCAGUUGAAAUUGCGCGAUGCAGCGGCGAGGGGGCGAGCGGGUAAACUGCGAGUGCGCUCUGCGCACUGGUCUCCUCGACGGAAUCGGCGACGCUGUGGUCCGCUGACGGAAUCGGCGGCGCCGUGGUCAACCGGCUGAAUCGGCGGCAAUGGUGGCGUGCUGAUCUGCGGGUGGUGGCAAAGGGCUGAUUCGGCAUCUUGGUCGGACAGCUCGGCGGGUGGUGGUUGAGUGUGCUCUCCUCUCUGGUUUCUUCGACGGAAUCGGCGGCGCCGUGGUUAGCCGGCUGAAUCGGCGGCGUGCUGAUCCGCGGGUGGUGGCAAAGGACUGAUUCGCCAUCUUCUUCGCAAAGCUCAGCGGUGGUGGUUGCGGACGGCGCUGCGAGCGGCCUCGGCAUCGCGGUGUACGGCCUCAGCCCUGCGUGAGAUUGACGAUGGCUGGAAUACGCUCGUGAGUCUCGAAUUAAGCUAGUCAUUGGCAUGUUUUGAAAAAGCGUGUUGCUGAUCUGGAUGACCCCAUCUCGGUUAUCUUUGAGCGUUGUUGGGCAUGGAAGAAACAGGGUAUAUUUACAAUUGGAUUUGACCCAACCUACUGCUGCGUAUGUCCCCCUCCAUUGAGUGUCAAAUGAAUUUCCAUUUUAUGCAUCUACUGAUGUGAAGGAAGACGGUGGUAAGCAAAGUGAUAUGAAGCUGAAGUUUCUUCUGUCAGGGUUUAACAUCACUAAUGCGUGAGCUAUAGUUAUCUCUGACUUGAAUUGUGUAUGCACUAAGUAGCUUCACAUGUAAUUACUGGGUAUACACCCAUAUCCUGUGUAUUCUUUUCGUAGUAGAUCUCUCUAGCCUUAAGUGCCACUUCUGUAUAUAGCUGAAUAUUCAUGUGUCCCCGUCCCUGCAAUGUACUUGGGCAUUGGCGGAUCUAGGAUUUUAAAUCAGGGUGGUCCAUCUUCAAAAGAAAAUUGGACACAAACAAACAAAUGUAAUUGAGACCAUUGGUAUUACUUUGGAGACAAUCGUCCAAGAGACUAACACCUAUCUUGUUUCUCAACUUGCUCUUGACAAAACUCAUUGUAGAAAAUGCUCUUUCAAUAUUUGUUGUUGUCACUGGAAAAAGCAAUACCAAUUUAAGAAACAAGUACACCAAAUUAUGAACGAUAUACCUCCUUGUUUCUAGCUUAUCAAUUCAUUAUCCAUAACUUUACAUUUAGACAAUUAGGCAUAACAGUGAGAAAAAUCUGAAAUUUCUUAAUUGCUAGGGUUCAGGCCUUCGGGGCAGGGGAGCUGGGGAAGGGAUCAGGGGAAGCGCGGCCGGGACAGGCUGAUUGCAGCGAGGAGUGGCGGCGGCCGGCCGGAGGUUGGCCGUUGGCGUGCUGGAGGCGAGCCGGCGGUGAGGGCGCGAGGCGAGCAGGGCGGGCACCUGGCGCUCGCGGCGACGGGACGAGCGACGGGGGCUCGUUCUGGUCCAGAAACGAACCAAAGAUGGGGGCUCGCUUGGGUGGUCUUUGUUGGGUCAAAAUUUUGCUCAGAUGGGCUUUUCCAUUUUUUUCCUAUAUGGUAUAUGGGCCAAAUCGAAAUUCCAGGGUGGUCCAUGGACCACCCUGGCCACCCUCUACAUCCGCCAAUGUACUUGGGUCAUGAUCUGAUCCUUGUAUUAGUGUGGUCCGUCAAAACAUAUCCUAAAUUGUUGUACUACCUUUUUUUAUGUCCAACUGUAUACCAUGUUUGAUGUGGC